rnacentral:rRNA from 1 species
GAUGAACGCUAGCUACAGGCUUAACACAUGCAAGUCGAGGGGCAGCACAGUGUAGCAAUACACGGGUGGCGACCGGCGCACGGGUGCGUAACGCGUAUCCAAUCUUCCCGUUACUCUUGGAUAGCCUUCCGAAAGGGAGAUUAAUACAAGAUGGUAUUCAAAUUCCGCAUGUUGUUUGAAUUAACGAUUUAUCGGUAACGGAUGGGGAUGCGUGACAUUAGGUAGAUGGCGGGGUAACGGCCCACCAUGCCUACGAUGUCUAGGGGUUCUGAGAGGAAGGUCCCCCACACUGGAACUGAGACGCGGUCCAGACUCCUACGGGAGGCAGCAGUGAGGAAUAUUGGUCAAUGGCCGGAAGGCUGAACCAGCCAAGUAGCGUGAAGGAUGGAGGUUCUAUGGAUUGCAAACUUCUUUUAUAUAGGAAUAAAGCCCACUACGUGUAGUGGUUUGUAUGUACUAUAUGAAUAAGCAUCGGCUAACUCCGUGCCAGCCGCCGCUGUAAUAC